rnacentral:tRNA from 1 species
GGGCCCGUGACUCAGUCUGGUAGAGUACCCGGCUCUUAACGGCUUUCAAAGCUGGGGGUAACCGGGCAGUCGAGGGUUCGAAUCCCUCCGGGCCCGCCA